UUUAAUUGAAGAGUUUGAUCAUGGCUCAGAUUGAACGCUGGCGGCAGGCCUAACACAUGCAAGUCGAGCGGUAACAUUUCUAGCUUGCUAGAAGAUG
rnacentral:rRNA from 1 species